AGGCGAUGAAGAAACAAAACAUUUCUCGAUGCUGAUAUAACAUUAUUAUGUUAUACUUUUUUGAUGACCUAUUUGUGCGUGUCUGAGCCUC
rfam:Nicotiana sylvestris Nsyl_contig57927, whole genome shotgun sequence.